GAGGAAGGUGGGGAUGACGUCAAGUCCUCAUGGCCCUUAUGUCCUGGGCUACACACGUACUACAAUGGUCGGUACAGAGGGUUGCCAAGCCGCAAGGUGGAGCCAAUCCCAGAAAGCCGAUCCCAGUCCGGAUUGGAGUCUGCAACUCGACUCCAUGAAGUCGGAAUCGCUAGUAAUCGCAGAUCAGCUAUGCUGCGGUGAAUACGUUCCCGGGCCUUGUACACACCGCCCGUCACACCAUGGGAGUGGGCUGCUCCAGAAGCCGUUAGCCUAACCGCAAGGAGGGCGACGACCACGGAGUGGUUCAUGACUGGGGUGAAGUCGUAACAAGGUAGCCGUAA
rnacentral:rRNA from 1 species